rnacentral:rRNA from 1 species
CCUACGGGAGGCAGCAGUGAGGAAUAUUGGUCAAUGGGCGGAAGCCUGAACCAGCCAAGUCGCGUGAGGGAAUAAGGCCCUACGGGUCGUAAACCUCUUUUGCCGGGGAGCAAGGGCGGGGACGUGUCCCGGCCCGGAGAGUACCCGGAGAAAAAGCAUCGGCUAACUCCGUGCCAGCAGCCGCGGUAAUACGGAGGAUGCGAGCGUUAUCCGGAUUUAUUGGGUUUAAAGGGUGCGUAGGCGGGCUUUUAAGUCAGCGGUAAAAAUUCGGGGCUCAACCCCGUCCGGCCGUUGACACUGGGGGCGUUGAGGGGGCGAGAGGGAGGAGGAAUGCGUGGGGGAGGGGUGAAAUGCAUAGA